CCAGAAACAACCCCUAGCCCUUACUGUCCAGAAACAACCCCUAGCCCUUACUGUCCAGAAACAACCCCUAGCCCUUACUGUCCAGAAACAACCACCAGCUGAUCAGACAGGUCUGGGUAGCUGGAGACACCCACUACACCCUAUCAGGCUGAUCAGACAGGUCUGGGUAGCUGGAGACACCCACUACACCCUAUCAGGCUGAUCAGACAGGUCUGGGUAGCUGGAGACACCCACAACACCCUAUCAGGCUGAUCAGACAGGUCUGGGUAGCUGGAAACACCCACUACACCCUAUCAGGCUGAUCAGACCGGUCUGGGUAGCUGGAGACACCCACUCCAUCCUAUCAGGCUGAUCAGACAGGUCUGGGUAGCUGGAGACACCCACAACACCCUAUCAGGCUGAUCAGACAGGUCUGGGUAGCUGGAAACACCCACUACACCCUAUCAGGCUGAUCAGACAGGUCUGGGUAGCUGGAGACACCCACUACACCCUAUCAGGCUGAUCAGACAGGUCUGGGUAGCUGGAAACACCCACUACACCCUAUCAGGCUGAUCAGACAGGUCUGGGUAGCUGGAGACACCCACUACACUCUAUCAGGCUGAUCAGACAGGUCUGGGUAGCUGGAGACCUGCUGGAAACAGUGAAAGGACAUAUUUACCAAUCACACCCUUGCUUUAGAUGUGUAACCACUGACUAACUAUAGCUAGGUCAUAUCUCUAGUCGAGCAAUAGAUACUGUUGUUUUAGAUCUAUAGCAUCAUUUAAUAAGUUUGACCAGUAGCUAGGUAGUUAGGAUAUAUCAGUCAGCUAACCAUUUACAGUAACAGCAGUUCAUUAAUAAGUCAAUACACACUAAGUCUUAUGCAGACAUUUUGAAAUGGUACCUUCUCUUGGCACUGUGGCACAGUAUGGGAAGCUAUUAAUCAAUUAAUGAAUAGAUAAUAGAUUCACAGAUUCAUAGAAUGGAGUUAGAAGGGUGACCUCCUACUUUGAUAGAACAGGGUUUGUUGGCUGUGCACUUGACCAGGCAUUCCACUUUUAACCCCACCCACAUUUGAACGUUGAAAUAUCAAGUUGUUUUUUGGUUUUGUAUGCAAAAACUGAAAGAAAACAAGCCAUUUAAUUAGUUUUUUUUACUAUUCAAAAACGAAUAAACAAGCCAUUUUCACAUUCCCGAUUGCUCUGUUUUAACUCAGAAAACAAACUGUAAUGAAACAGCAGGGAGCAAACCUUUUUCAAAAGGUACACAGACCUUAACCUUACCUCAGGAAUCUUGAUUUAAUGUUGUCCAUGAAGUAGGCUAAUUAUCUUAACCUCCAUAACAACAUAGAAACCAAAAUGUUCUGUCAAUCUUCCAGAUCAACAUUAAUUCCCGCACUGGCUGUUAAAUCGCGUGUAUCAUCACACAAGCUCUUUAUUA